rnacentral:rRNA from 1 species
UACGGAGGGGGCUAGCGUUGUUCGGAAUUACUGGGCGUAAAGCGCACGUAGGCGGCUUUGUAAGUUAGAGGUGAAAGCCCGGGGCUCAACUCCGGAAUUGCCUUUAAGACUGCAUCGCUAGAAUUGUGGAGAGGUAAGUGGAAUUCCGAGUGUAGAGGUGAAAUUCGUAGAUAUUCGGAAGAACACCAGUGGCGAAGGCGGCUGACUGGACAUGUAUUGACGCUGAGGUGCGAAAGCGUGGGGAGCAAACAGG